rnacentral:rRNA from 1 species
UAACUCUCGGGAAACCGGAGCUAAUACCGGAUAAUAUAUUGAACCGCAUGGUUCAAUAGUGAAAGACGGUUUUGCUGUCACUUAUAGAUGGAUCCGCGCCGCAUUAGCUAGUUGGUAAGGUAACGGCUUACCAAGGCAACGAUGCGUAGCCGACCUGAGAGGGUGAUCGGCCACACUGGAACUGAGACACGGUCCAGACUCCUACGGGAGGCAGCAGUAGGGAAUCUUCCGCAAUGGGCGAAAGCCUGACGGAGCAACGCCGCGUGAGUGAUGAAGGUCUUCGGAUCGUAAAACUCUGUUAUUAGGGAAGAACAAAUGUGUAAGUAACUAUGCACGUCUUGACGGUACCUAAUCAGAAAGCCACGGCUAACUACGUGCCAGCAGCCGCGGUAAUACGUAGGUGGCAAGCGUUAUCCGGAAUUAUUGGGCGUAAAGCGCGCGUAGGCGGUUUUUUAAGUCUGAUGUGAAAGCCCACGGCUCAACCGUGGAGGGUCAUUGGAAACUGGA